UACGUAGGGGGCGAGCGUUGUCCGGAUUCAUUGGGCGUAAAGAGCUCGUAGGCGGCUUGGCAAGUCGGGUGUGAAACCUCCAGGCUCAACCUGGAGACGCCACUCGAUACUGCCAUGGCUAGAGUCCGGUAGGGGACCACGGAAUUCCUGGUGUAGCGGUGAAAUGCGCAGAUAUCAGGAGGAACACCGGUGGCGAAGGCGGUGGUCUGGGCCGGCACUGACGCUGAGGAGCGAAAGCGUGGGUAGCAAACAGG
rnacentral:rRNA from 1 species